rnacentral:rRNA from 1 species
UAGUCAUAUGCUUGUCUCAAAGAUUAAGCCAUGCAUGUCUAAGUAUAAGCAAUUUAUACAGUGAAACUGCGAAUGGCUCAUUAAAUCAGUUAUAGUUUAUUUGAUAGUACCUUACUACUUGGAUAACCGUGGUAAUUCUAGAGCUAAUACAUGCUAAAAACCCCGACUGCUCGGGAGGGGUGUAUUUAUUAGAUAAAAAAUCAAUGCCCUCGGGCUCUUUGAUGAUUCAUAAUAACUUGUCGAAUCGCAUGGCUUUACGCCGGCGAUGGUUCAUUCAAAUUUCUGCCCUAUCAACUGUCGAUGGUAGGAUAGUGGCCUACCAUGGUGGCAACGGGUAACGGGGAAUAAGGGUUCGAUUCCGGAGAGGGAGCCUGAGAAACGGCUACCACAUCCAAGGAAGGCAGCAGGCGCGCAAAUUACCCAAUCCUAAUUCAGGGAGGUAGUGACAAUAAAUAACGAUACAGGGCCCUUCUGGGUCUUGUAAUUGGAAUGAGUACAAUGUAAAUACCUUAACGAGGAACAAUU